GACCGGAUUUGACAGCGAGUCGGAGUGGUAUGUAAGCACGCAGUGCGCCUGAAAGUGGGCACUUAAAUCUCGGCUUUCAAGAAUUUAACUGGCGAAAACAACUUUGCUCUCGCUGCCUAAUCGAAGUACAGUAGAUUGGCUUUAUUCCGACACAAGGUGUUGGAACGAGACAUCACCCAAGCGCUCUUGCUCCGAAGCUUCUUGACAAGGUGGUGCAGCAAAAUCGGAGAUAGUUCAGCCUGGCCUCACAGGUAGAGCGAAACUCUUAGAGGAUAAGGUUGCGGUUGGUGGCACCGGUCUUGCCGCAGCACGAAAAUGAAGUCGGUGAUAAGCGUGUAGAAAGCAUUCUAUUUCCUCGUUUGGACGAGGGUUCAACUCCCUCCUGGUCCACU
rnacentral:tmRNA from 1 species